UACGGAGGGUGCGAGCGUUGUCCGGAAUCAUUGGGCGUAAAGGGCGCGUAGGUGGUGGGGUCAGUCGGUGGUGAAAGCGCGGGGCUCAACUCCGCGUCGGCCGUCGAUACUGCUUCACUUGAGCACUGUAGAGGCAGGCGGAAUUCCGGGUGUAGCGGUGGAAUGCGUAGAGAUCCGGAAGAACACCGGUGGCGAAGGCGGCCUGCUGGGCAGUAGCUGACACUGAGGCGCGACAGCGUGGGGAGCAAACAGG
rnacentral:rRNA from 1 species